UAUAGAUGGAUUUAAAAAUUUCUAUUGAACUUUAUUAAAAUCGCAAGAAAUAAUAGUGUUAGAGAACAUUAAGAGAAUGCUGGAUAUAAAAGCGGCUUCUUUAAAGAAUCUUUCAAGACAGAAUUUCGUAACUUGAAUUAUAUAAAUAUAUUAAAAAUCAGAGAGAAAAAUAAAGGAAGCAAAUCUAAAGAAUAAGCCAAAUAAAAGAGAAGAUGGAUCUCCUUAUAAGCUUAAAUCAAAAGUUUAAACAACAAGUUUGAACAAUCCAAUGCAAUAAU